GAGGCCGGAAGUGGCACCGGGCAGCACUGUGGCCGGAAUGCAGGCCUUGGAAGAGCUUAGGGCAUGAAAUAAAACCAACCAGCAAAUACCACUGCACUGGGUGUCUCAUUUUUUGCAGUGCAGCUUGCAUUUCUGCGGGAGUUCUGGACAACCCCUUCCAUACUGUCUUGUGACAUUCACAGUGAUCAAAAGUAGGAGAAUGCUGCUGCUGAGCGCCAUCCACCGGAAAGGGAGGAUUGUGCAAACGUCACGUGUCUUCGCGUUUUCACCAGAUCUGGCACUGUGCGGCUUCCGUUUCUUCCCUCAAAGUAAAUGAUCACGAAAGAUAAAUGAUUUGAAUCCAAUUCGGGACAUCGAGGCAGCCACAGUGGUACAACUAAGCACACUCAGGACAGAGGACUUCCAGAACUGCUUCAGAACUGGCAAGAAAUGAGCUAACAAUCCGCAUGGAGACACUCAGAUCCUGUGUCAUCUAAGAAAAUUUAGCUGAAGAACUGCACUGACAGAUCCACAUGUGUUCCAUGAGAAAAAUAACUGAGAGACGCAGACACAGCCAAAAAUCUGUGGCAGAGGUUUUCCUACCAAACGCCUGUGUACCGCGAGAGCUUCUCAUAGAUAGUGUGUGUGCCCUGUGCAUCCCCAUCUGUAUGUGUUCAUCAUGAGCUGUGCUUGAACCCAGCAGGAUCUACUUAUUUCCAACGUAACUGUGCCUUGGUCAGAUAGGCUUCGUGUGUGUGUUGUAGAAGUGGGACGCACUGGGCCGGAUAUGGCUCUUUUCCCUGACUGUCUUGAUUCAGUGGAUCCAGGCAUUUUCCAACUGAGCAGCUGUGGCUUGAGGAGAAUCCAGGUGUUUCUCUCGUUGACUGUGGGAUUGGCAGGGACCUGGGUAUUUUCCUUUGCCUGGAAUUAUUAUAACAUAUCUUAUGCAUAUAUAUUUCAGUGAACUUUCUUUGUCCCAGGAAAUAGAUCAUCUUUAACCUUACACAUCUAGAAAACAUCUAGAAAAAUAUGUGCAGUAGCCUCAAUUUGGAUGUCCAGCUCUCUCUCCCCACCCCUCCCAGUGCUAUUACUAAACAUCUGUGGACGUCUGCUGCAAGGAACAAAAAGAAAAAAAUUAAAAAGUGACCACAAAAGAAAAAUAGAAAAGGAAGAUAAAAAG